UAACCGCCCUUCUACACAAAAUAACCCCUGUAAACUCUCUGAUUCUUUCACAACGAACCCUAAUUCGCCGCCAACCCUUCUCCAAUCUUCACAUUUCAUCUCUAAAGACAUCGAGAUUCCGUGAAUUCGGCUAGAAAACUGUGAAAAUCGCAUCUCUUCGUCAAUAUCGCCAACUCAAUUCAUGUUGUAGUAACAUCCUUGCUGUUGUUAUCGAUUGAUUUUGCUAGUUUUUUGCUUAUAUCUCAUUGAAAUUUCUUUUAUUUAUCUUGAUAUGUGGUUUCUUUUUGUUCAAUUGAAUCUAAAUUUAUUUUAAUGUUGUGUUUUUCUACCGAUUGUUUUUGGUUCUUUGGGAUUUAUCGGUUGAAAUUGUGUUACAAUGGGACAGAUAAGUUUUCAAUAUGAAGCUUCAAUGAUGCUCCAAUAUCGUCUAAUUAUAAGAGACAUGCCAUGAGUAUUACAGCUUGAGGACGACACUGUUACUGUUACAUGAACUCCAAGAUUUUCCUAACUGAGAGACUGGCUUCUUACAUAGAAUUGUAGGCUGAAAACUCUAUUUUGCUGAAGAGCUAUGGAUGCUGAUCAAGCUCCAUCUUGCGUUGUUGCUCCAUAAUAUUGUUGCUAAUGUUGUUAGUCCAUGAUGAUGAGGAUCUACAAACAUCUAAGGGUGUUUUGUGAAUUCAAGGCCAACAAUGAUUCGAAACAAUAUGAACUUUGCUUUACGCCCCUUGCAGCUAAUUGGAGAUCGAUUGAUUGAAGUUUUUUUUUUUUUUUUUUGUUGAAGAAAUGAGCAGAUUUAUUCCACUAGCUAGUACACGCUAGUCAUGAGUGAAGUGUAGGUUGGAAUUAUUAUUUCUUGUACUACCUAAUAGCAAACUCAUUACAAUGAGAUAUUGUCCAUGUACUAUAACAUAUUCAUAUGCAAUAACAAAAUUGGCUUAAUUUUGCUGUGUGUA